AGGGAUGUGGAUAGCUAUCAUAGGGAGUAUAUGGAACUAGAGAAAUGGUAUUUUGUUUAGAAAGCUAAAGGUCGAUGGGAAGGAAACCUCUGUAUGACUCGGAUUAGAACUUGGACAUGGAUAAGGAGAGUGAUUCUUCCGUUGCACCAAUUAUAUGUAGUCACAUUUAGGAAAUAAAAUAGAUAGCAUAAUAAAUCUGGUAAAAGCAAGAUUGCACAUGGAUAGUAUAAUAAAAUAAAAUGUGUAGGGCAACCUCUACUUGUGGUUAAACAAUACACAAAAUG
rnacentral:lncRNA from 1 species